UGAAUUCCAAGUAGACAGAGAACGAAGCUGGAACCUGCAGCCGUAGUGUCGUGCCCCUGGAGAAUACAUACAGUAUUAUUACAAAUAUUUUCGUGGUACUAUUUUUACUAAAAAUUGUACACUAACAUGAGCAGCAAAUGUUCAAAUCUGUAUAUUUGUGACGAACGUUUAUAAAUUAUUGCAUUGAAAAUAGUGUAAAAUUGAAGAGUAUUCAGUUUUAAAUAAAAAUAUAUGAUCCUUUUGAGCACAGGAAAUUAAAUUUUAAAACAUAUAGUAUUUAAAUGAGAAAAGAAAAUAAGUACACUUGCGAUUAAAUCAAGCUUCCCCAGGAAAGAUGGCGAUGCCCUGGAUUCUUGAACUUUUCCCAUAGGCAUCCCCGGAGAAAAUGACGAUGUACC